CGCGGGGUGGUGGAGUAGUACCAUAUGAGGCCCAUAACCUUAAGGCACCGGUGCAAUUCCGGUCCCCGCAA
rnacentral:tRNA from 1 species